GAUAUGGUUCAGUGGUAGAGCAUUUGCCUAGCAUGCAUGAGGUUGUGGGUUCAAUCCCCAGCAUCA
rnacentral:tRNA from 1 species